GACGAACGCUGGCGGCGUGCUUAACACAUGCAAGUCGAACGGAAAGGCCCUGCUUUUGUGGGGUGCUCGAGUGGCGAACGGGUGAGUAACACGUGAGUAACCUGCCCUUGACUUUGGGAUAACUUCAGGAAACUGGGGCUAAUACCGGAUAGGAGCUCCUGCUGCAUGGUGGGGGUUGGAAAGUUUCGGCGGUUGGGGAUGGACUCGCGGCUUAUCAGCUUGUUGGUGGGGUAGUGGCUUACCAAGGCUUUGACGGGUAGCCGGCCUGAGAGGGCGACCGGCCACAUUGGGACUGAGAUACGGCCCAGUCUCCUACGGGAGGCAGCAGUGGGGAAUAUUGCACAAUGGGCGGAAGCCUGAUGCAGCAACGCCGCGUGCGGGAUGACGGCCUUCGGGUUGUAAACCGCUUUCGCCUGUGACGAAGCGUGAGUGACGGUAAUGGGUAAAGAAGCACCGGCUAACUACGUG
rnacentral:rRNA from 1 species